CACUGACGUCGCGACGCAUAUCAAUAAGCGGAGGAAAAGAAACUAACAAGGAUUCCCUUAGUAACGGCGAGUGUAAGCGGGAAGAGCUCAAAUUUGAAAUCUUCAAGGUUCUACCUUGACGAAUUGUAGUUUAAAGAAGUGUUUUCUGUUAGAUGAGUAGCAAAAGUUCCUUGGAAUGGGACAUCAUAGAGGGUGAGAAUCCCGUAUUUGGUUAUUCAUUCUAGCUUUGUGAUACACUUUCAAAGAGUCGGAUUGUUUGGGAAUGCAGGUCCAAAAUGGGUGGUAAAUUUCAUCUAAAGCUACAUAUUGGCGAGAGACCGAUAGCGAACAAGUACCGUGAGGGAAAGAUGAAAAGAACUUUGAAAAGAGAGUUAAACAGUACGUGAAAUUGUCAAAAGGGAAGCGUUUGACACCAGUGUUGUUUUUCCGAAAAUCAAUUACGAAUGGCUUGAUUUUGUGUUGUAUUGACCUUAUCAGCUUUCUUCACUUUUUUCGAGUCUUUCUUAAUGCACUUUUUGGUUAACAAGUCAACAUCAAUUUCUUUUGUUGUAAAAGAGUAUUCGGAAGGUGGCUUUCUUUUCGGAGAAAGUGUUUAUAGCCCUAUACUUCUACAAUCGGAGAGAUUGAGGUCUGCAGCGUAGAUCCUUCGGGGUUAGAUACACUUUGUGCUAAGUUAGUAGCUUUUCAUAGACAACUUGUUGACUAUGUUUAGUCAUGCGGCUUACUCGCUUGUGCUAUUUUACCUACGCUUAGGAUGUUGAGUCGUAGAGCACGCAG
rnacentral:rRNA from 1 species